AGCGUACAGCUGUGACAUUUGUGGAAAAACUUUUACACAGUCUUCAAGCUUAAAAACACACCAACUCCUCCACAGUGGAGUUAAAGCGUACAGCUGUGACAUUUGUGGAAAAACUUUCAGCCAGUUAGGGUACCGAAAUAUUCACCUGCGCAUUCACACUGGACAUAAUGUUUACUGCUGUGAUCAGUGUGGCAAACUGUUUACAACAAAUGCACAGUUACAAAGCCACAUGUUUACCCACACUGAGGAGAGACCUUAUAAAUGUGACCUGUGUGAUAAAGUUUUUAAACAUCCAGAUUAUCUCAAAUCACACCAACAGAUCCACGCCAGAAAGAGACUCUACAAGUGCAGUUACUGUGAGAAGCAGAGCGACACAGAUGGAUCCAGUUCUCAACCCUGUCGUCACUGUGGUGGUGGGAAAGAGUUUCGCUGUGACCUUUGUGGAAAAACUUUCAGUUACCGAAGGAGCCUAAAAGUACAUCAACGUAGACACACUGGAGACAAAAUGAACUACUGCAAAGAAUGUGGGAGCGGCUUUACAACAUCAAGUGCAUUCAAAAAACAUGAACUCUGUCACAGUGGGGUUAAAGACCACCUCUGUGACCAGUGUGGGUCAUCCUUCACCACUGCAGAUCAUCUUAAAGAGCAUAAAAGAGUGCACACAGGAGAGAAACCAUACAAGUGCAGACACUGUGACAAAAGUUUCUCACGUUCAUCUGGUCGUAACAAACAUGAACGUACACACAUGGAAGAGAACUUCAGCUGUGACCAGUGUGACAAGAGCUUCAAGAAUUUCAUUUCAUACUCCAGACACAAACGAUCCCACGCUGUAAAUAAACUGUUUCACUGUUACCAAUGUGCAAAAACAUUCACUUCAUUAUCUGCUCUGCGCAAACAUCAGCGUGAUCAUGCAGAACUGAAAUCACCAGAUCACAAUGAAUCUGAAGAGACAGAAAGGUCCUCUUCUGUUUUCAGGGUCAGACUUAAAAACCUUGAGAUCAGGCUCCACAGAGUUCAGAUGGACUCUCCUGUAAAAAGUGUCAGCUGAUGUCACACUUGGAUCUGAUGAGGUAGCUCUGCUUUCUGGAGCUGCAGUGAAUAAUCCUGGAUCUUAAAUUUAGAAAUCUGCAAAGUAUUUUCCCCCUUCCUGAUUUUAUGUUUGCCACACUUAACUGCUUCAGAUCAUUAAACAGACUUUUCAAACAGAAUGCUUUCACCUAUUAAGGGAAAGAAAAAAGCAAGAAAUAUAUGGCCCUUUCUCCAUAUUUUUCUUCUUUUUUCCCUUCACUGUUUCAUUCUGUUUCUGUUGUCUGUGUUGAUUUGAAGGGCUUUCAUUUUAGGAUGGAUGAGCUGCUUACGUACCUACAGGUACAAGUAAACUCAACUGAACCUGAACUUGUCUGUUGCUUGCUGAUGAAUACGACCACACUGACAAGUAGUUCCUACAGUUUGUAUUUUUCUGUCAUUUCUUAAAGAUUGUCUUACCUGAAUAUAGAAUCUCUCUGUCAUGGUUUGAUCAGUAAACCUCAUCCAGCUGGCUGCACUGAGAGGGAACCUGCUAUACUGUGCAUGUAUUCAAUUUUCCAUUAGAUGUUGAUGAAUUCUUCUUUUUUUUUUGUUUUAUCCCUUCAUGAAUGUGUAAAGGAAAUAAAGGUUGAGAUAAUG